ACCACCCAGGUACGAAGAAGCGUUGUAAGCUCUGCCUGUUUAACCCCCUAGCGUGUCGGAUUUAGUCAUCAGGUAUGUUGCAAUACUCCCGUUUGCUGCCAGACUAAUAACAUGGUUUAAUCAAUGUUUGUCUUCACCUGUAGCUUCGUGGUCACCGGCUAGUCUGCUCCUGCUGCCCGUGUGUUAGACACCAUCCCUUAUUCAUUCUACAGCUGAACGUGGGUGAGUGCUCCCCAUACGGCGCUUUGUGCACUAAUCGUAGUUACGAACAUAGAUGUGGGGCCCUCUUUGAGGGAGGCUAGUCACCUGGUGGUGGGACCCUGUAGCUGCACAUUUGUGGUGUCAUUGUUGCUUGCGGUGGGCUGCUGUGUCACUGGUAAGUCACUUUCUUGCAGUGUGUAUGCACGUGUGAUGGCUGGAACUUAGAACACACCUCCAGUUAGUCUGUCUCCCUCAGGUAAGCCCCCAUCUGCUGUAUCUUUUUAGCUCCAGUGGAGCCUGGCCCCACUUUAGAAAUCACCUGUUCA